UUUCCGUAGGUGAACCUGCGGAAGGAUCAUUCACAAUCAGUGGGUUAUGGCCCUUUUUAAACUCGCCAUAUCCAGCUUGUGUUCAACGUUAUGAGACCCUCUAUCGUUAUCUUGUAGGUUAAGGAGGGGGGAACCUCUACAAGUUACCAACAUCACCCUUAACUUAUUUGUCUGUACAUUUGUUAUCUCGAAUUAUCUUAAUUCUAAAAUACAACUUUCAACAACGGAUCUCUUGGCUCUC
rnacentral:misc_RNA from 1 species